rnacentral:lncRNA from 1 species
UCUUCCCGCGUACAGCCGCCCUGAUGGAUCGCUGGGGCCUCGGGCGGGGUGCACCGCUGUCCUUUCGCCGCCGUCCGGGCGGCACUGCACGUGCAGCGCGCGGUCCCCCACCCAGCGCAGCCCGCAACACCCCUGGUCUGCCGCAGGAGACCCUGCCGAUGCCACUCAGGGUCAAGACUCUGGCGCGGUGGAAACUGCAGAGCAAAAGGAAACACAGACAAAAACAGUGAGAAGGAGAGAGAGCAUGUGGGGCUUU